rnacentral:misc_RNA from 1 species
UAAAGUGCGAUAUGUAGUGCGAUUUGCAUGAAUCUGUGAGUCAUCUAAUCUUUGAACGCAACUUGCGCCUCUCUGAGGCAUGUCUGUUUGAGUGCCGCAUACUAUAAUGCAGCAAUGCGAUUUGAUCCAUGUCGGCGACUAUCACAGGCGACGACUGGGCCUAAAUGUAGCCAGAUAAUGGUCUGUGAGGACUAGCCCGAGUGCUAAGCAUUCUUGGUUCUAGGCCCCGCCUGCCACAAUCUAUCUAUCUAAUUGGCCUCAAAUCAGGCAAGACUACCCGCUGAACUUAA